ensembl:lncRNA
UUUUUUCUUUUUAAUUCAUACUGUACUUCCAUGGCUCUAGCUACUUUACAUUAAGAUUUGGCUGGGCAGCCUUGUGUGUUUCUAGGUACUAGCAGUAAGUGUUCCGACCUUGCGCACAGCGCCAGGCAAAGUACAGUUAUAGAUCCAAAUACAGACGGCCAGACAACUCGACUGCACUCGACCCGUGUUCUUUCCCAUAGAUGGCCCAGUGCAGGUGUUGGGGCUGCUCCCUCUGCCUCACCCCACUCCACCUCAUGUCAGGAUUAUCCAGGGGCCACUAUGGCCUCUGACCCAUCCCUCCCCACUUUGGAGUCUAGGUUGAGUUGGGGAAAAAGCACCAUGGGUUUGGGAAGAUGGUCUGGUCCAUGCAGAGAGUGGUCUGGCCUUUAAGUGCAGGGUAGGAAAAUGUGGGGAGCCACAAGCUAUUGUUGGCAAAAAUGGCUGCUUUGACUAUGCAAUCUCAGCACGUGGCACCCAAGCCCCAGGCCAAUGCCCCAGACAGUCAGCUGCCUUGCCUGGAGCAGAGGCCACCCUUUUGCUUCUGCAAUGUCUUAUUGUAUUGAGAGAAGCAAGGAGGGCCGAAGAAUGACAAUGUUCUUUAAGCCUUCAAAUGUUGGGGAGAUCGUCCAGCAUCAGCUCCUCCUGGCCGGCAAGGUGCUGCUCAUCAGCUGCCAAGACUCCAGUCCGGGCUCCAGGGCCUGCUGAGGAUCUCCAGUCACAAGACCCCAGAGCUGUUGCACAGAACAUCAAAACAGGGAGCUGGCUGGGCCCUUCACAACUAUGGCCAGAGCAGAAGUGAGGUAACAAGGCUGGGCAGAGCGGUGGGAAGGGAGCUCUCUAAACAGUGUGCAAAUUCCUGCUCUGCACUAUGACAGCAAGCAGGGGUCUUAAAAGAUGGCCUUCCAGGAAAAUGCUCCUCUCAGACCCAAAAUGCAUCUUCUGGAAGAAAACACAGAGGUGAAGGGGAUUGGGGCCAACCUGCUGGAGGUUGGGGGAAUGAAAGUCAAGGAUGUGAAGUGGUGAAUGGGAUGAUUGUCCCAUAGCCUAGAGACAAGUGGUGAGGGUGGGGAGAGUCAGGAAGGGGCCAUGGAGUUUCCUCCUGGAGGAGGCAGGCAGGGUAUGAGGUGUAGGGAGACCAGAGCCCUGCCAUCUGGGGGAGGGAGAAGAGUGCUAUUUCUCCUGGGGGCAGUAGGAGAAAAGGGCUGGCUUUGGCUGCCCUGCAGAGCUUAAAGAAGCGACAUGGUAUGGCACAGAAAGUACCCUUCUGGGACCACAAGCAUCCAGAAAGAUACUUCCCCUAGUCCCUUCUCCAGGACCUCAUCCUAGGGAUGCUGCCUGGAAAUGUAAUAGGUAUAGUUCAAGUUUGGGUGGGGGUAGGGACACGGAGAGAAUCCACUUCUCACAAAGCACUCCUCUUGAGCUCUCUUGGUCCUCGCCAUGUCAGUGUAUGUGGUUCUUAGUUCAGUGCUCUAAGGCAAACCCAAGGGUUUUAGCCAAAGCUUCAUACUAAAUCCAAACCCUAUCUAGACCAAAGAGAAGUGCUAGGACCAGAAGUGGUUUCUCUCCACUGUUUCUUCUACCAGUAAGGAGGAAGGACAGACAGAUGAAAGGCUUCACAGAGCCUAGAGAUAGAAGAUGAGCUCCAUUGAAAAGAAUGUUCUUCUCCCAACUCAGAGAAAGUCCAAAGGAAGAUCCCUCCACAAACUAGGCCAAAGAAGGAAGAAACUUUUCUAGGUGAAUACUGAGCAAUACAUCAAGCUCGAUCUCUCUCUCUCUCUCUCUCUCUCUCUCUCCCCCCCGCCUCACUGGGCCUCCCCAGCCCUCCGAGCCACCUAAAGAAUAUAUUUUAACCACCCUGGGUCUCCUGGGAAUGCAGACACUGCCCUACCACGCCUCUAAAUACUGGGAAGCUUCAGCCUCUGGGCUUGUUCCCUCCUGGCAGAGUAACUGAGAAAUUGCACUCAGUCUUCUCAGUCUCUGGCCUAACCCCCAAGAUGAUGUCAAAGCUAGAACCUACCUUAAAGAUGAUCUAGCCCCACUCCCUCCUGUGACAGGAGGAUACUGAAGCUCAGAGACGGAAUGACUUGCCCAAGGCCACAGAGCUUAGUCAGUGGAAAAAUCAGGACCCAGGCCCAGGUCUCCAAACCAUCAGUGCAGUGCUCUUAUACAGAGCUUCAAGCAGCUGAUCUUGCUGGCCUGAGAUGUAAUCCUCUUGUCCCCAAAGAGGUGGAUGGGGAAGGGAGAGAGUCACACCCAUGAUUAGCUUGUCUGAGACCAGUCUU